AACGUCUCAGUUCGGAUUGUAGUCUGCAACUCGACUACAUGAAGCUGGAAUCGCUAGUAAUCGCGGAUCAGAAUGCCGCGGUGAAUACGUUCCCGGGUCUUGUACACACCGCCCGUCACACCAUGGGAGUCGGAAAUGCCCGAAGUCUGUGACCUAACCGUAAGGAAGGAGCAGCCGAAGGCAGGUCGGAUGACUGGGGUGAAGUCGUAACAAGGUAUC
rnacentral:rRNA from 1 species